rnacentral:rRNA from 1 species
GCCAGACUCCUACGGGAGGCAGCAGUGGGGAAUAUUGCACAAUGGGGGAAACCCUGAUGCAGCGACGCCGUGUGAGCGAUGAAGUAUUUCGGUAUGUAAAGCUCUAUCAGCAGGGAAGAAGAUGACGGUACCUGACUAAGAAGCCCCGGCUAACUACGUGCCAGCAGCCGCGGUAAUACGUAGGGGGCAAGCGUUAUCCGGAUUUACUGGGUGUAAAGGGAGCGUAGACGGCGAUGCAAGCCAGAUGUGAAAGCCCGGGGCCCAACCCCGGGACUGCUCUUGGAACUGCGUGGCUGGAGUGCAGGAGGGGCAGGCGGAAUUCCUGGUGUAGCGGUGAAAUGCGUAGAUAUCAGGAGGAACACCGGUGGCGAAGGCGGCCUGCUGGACUGCAACUGACGUUGAGGCCCGAAAGCGUGGGGAGCAAACAGGAUUAGAUACCCCAGUA